GACGAACGCUGGCGGCGUGCUUAACACAUGCAAGUCGAACGGAAAGGCCCUGCUUUUGUGGGGUGCUCGAGUGGCGAACGGGUGAGUAACACGUGAGUAACCUGCCCUUGACUUUGGGAUAACUUCAGGAAGCUGGGGCUAAUACCGGAUAGGAGCUCCUGCUGCAUGGUGGGGGUUGGAAAGUUUCGGCGGUUGGGGAUGGACUCGCGGCUUAUCAGCUUGUUGGUGGGGUAGUGGCUUACCAAGGCUUUGACGGGUAGCCGGCCUGAGAGGGUGACCGGCCACAUUGGGACUGAGAUACGGCCCAGACUCCUACGGGAGGCAGCAGUGGGGAAUAUUGCACAAUGGGCGGAAGCCUGAUGCAGCGACGCCGCGUGCGGGAUGACGGCCUUCGGGUUGUAAACCGCUUUCGCCUGUGACGAAGCGUGAGUGACGGUAAUGGGUAAAGAAGCACCGGCUAACUACGUG
rnacentral:rRNA from 1 species